rnacentral:rRNA from 1 species
GACGAACGCUGGCGGCGUGCUUAACACAUGCAAGUCGAACGGUAAGGCCCUUCGGGGUACACGAGUGGCGAACGGGUGAGUAACACGUGGGUGAUCUGCCCUGCACUUCGGGAUAAGCCUGGGAAACUGGGUCUAAUACCGGAUAGGACUCCGGACUGCAUGGUCUGGGGUGGAAAGCUUUUGCGGUGUGGGAUGGGCCCGCGGCCUAUCAGCUUGUUGGUGGGGUGAUGGCCUACCCAGGCGACGACGGGUAGCCGGCCUGAGAGGGUGACCGGCCACACUGGGACUGAGAUACGGCCCAGACUCCUACGGGAGGCAGCAGUGGGGAAUAUUGCACAAUGGGCGCAAGCCUGAUGCAGCGACGCCGCGUGAGGGAUGACGGCCUUCGGGUUGUAAACCCCUUUCAGCAUCGACGAAGCGAAAGUGACGGUAGGUGCAGAAGAAGGACCGGCCAACUACGUGCCAGCAGCCGCCGUAA